GGGAAGUUUUGGACAAUGGGCGCAAGCCUGAUCCAGCCAUGCCGCGUGAGUGAAGAAGGCCUUCGGGUUGUAAAGCUCUUUCGGCCGGGAAGAAAUCGGUGGUCUCUAACAUAGGCCAUGGAUGACGGUACCGGACUAAGAAGCACCGGCUAACUACGUGCC
rnacentral:rRNA from 1 species